GUACACUCCUACGGGAGGCAGCAGUGGGGAAUAUUGGACAAUGGGCGCAAGCCUGAUCCAGCCAUGCCGCGUGAGUGAUGAAGGCCCUAGGGUUGUAAAGCUCUUUCACCGGUGAAGAUAAUGACGGUAACCGGAGAAGAAGCCCCGGCUAACUUCGUGCCAGCAGCCGCGGUAAUAUGAAGGGGGCUAGCGUUGUUCGGAUUUACUGGGCGUAAAGCGCACGUAGGCGGACUAUUAAGUCAGGGGUGAAAUCCCGGGGCUCAACCCCGGAACUGCCUUUGAUACUGGUAGUCUUGAGUUCGAGAGAGGUGAGUGGAAUUCCGAGUGUAGAGGUGAAAUUCGUAGAUAUUCGGAGGAACACCAGUGGCGAAGGCGGCUCACUGGCUCGAUACUGACGCUGAGGUGCGAAAGCGUGGGGAGCAAACAGGAUUAGAUACCCGUGUAGUCCCA
rnacentral:rRNA from 1 species